rnacentral:rRNA from 1 species
UACGGAGGGUGCAAGCGUUACUCGGAAUUACUGGGCGUAAAGCGUGCGUAGGUGGUUUGUUAAGUCUGUCGUGAAAGCCCUGGGCUCAACCUGGGAACUGCGAUGGAAACUGGCUAACUAGAAUGUGGUAGAGGGUAGCGGAAUUCCUAGUGUAGCAGUGAAAUGCGUAGAUAUCAGGAGGAACAUCCAUGGCGAAGGCAGCUACCUGGGCCAACAUUGACACUGAGGCACGAAAGCGUGGGGAGCAAACAGG